rnacentral:rRNA from 1 species
GAUGAACGCUGGCGGCGUGCCUAAUACAUGCAAGUCGAGCGAACGGACGAGAAGCUUGCUUCUCUGAUGUUAGCGGCGGACGGGUGAGUAACACGUGGAUAACCUACCUAUAAGACUGGGAUAACUUCGGGAAACCGUAGCUAAUACCGGAUAAUAUUUUGAACCGCAUGGUUCAAAAGUGAAAGACGGUCUUGCUGUCACUUAUAGAUGGAUCCGCGCUGCAUUAGCUAGUUGGUAAGGUAACGGCUUACCAAGGCAACGAUGCAUAGCCGACCUGAGAGGGUGAUCGGCCACACUGGAACUGAGACACGGUCCAGACUCCUACGGGAGGCAGCAGUGGGGAAUCUUCCGCAAUGGGCGAAAGCCUGACGGAGCAACGCCGCGUGUGUGAUGAAGGUCUUCGGAUCGUAAAACUCUGUUAUUAGGGAAGAACAUAUGUGUAAGUAACUGUGCACAUCUUGACGGUACCUAAACAGAAAGCCACGGCUAACUACGUA